UACGGAGGGUGCAAGCGUUAAUCGGAAUUACUGGGCGUAAAGCGCGCGUAGGCGGUCUUGUAAGUCGGAUGUGAAAUCCCCGGGCUUAACCUGGGAACUGCAUUCGAUACUGCUUAACUAGAGUAUGGUAGAGGGAAGUGGAAUUCCGGGUGUAGCGGUGAAAUGCGUAGAUAUCCGGAGGAACACCAGUGUCGAAGGCGACUUCCUGGGCCAAUACUGACGCUGAGGUGCGAAAGCGUGGGGAGCAAACAGG
rnacentral:misc_RNA from 1 species